GUACUUGUCAGGAACAUUCUAUGAAAAAAUGCAGCAAGUUUAUAAUAGAACAAACAAAUAAAGACACUUUUACUACUCGGGAACCAGGAUGGUGAACAAAGCUGAUGGGAUUCAUUUUAAAGAUUGUUGACCUGACAACAGUCCAACAGCCAGAUCUUCCUCCUCAAUGUUUGCUGUCUCAUCAUUGUUACUGAGUCCCACUCCCAUGAAUUGUUCUGCAAACUUGAUGAUGACUAAUUUCUGGGACGAACCCUAAAAAAUAAAGAAAGCAACUGCUCGUGUUAAUUACAUCACAACAUUGUCAUCUGUUUAUUCUGCAAUGCCUUUCUAAUUGAACCAUUAUAACCAUUAAUCGGUCAGAUAAAAACUGCACCUUUAAAUGUCAUAUAAAUGGAAGGUGAGACUCAGUGACUGGAACUUAUAAUGCAAAGUGAUGUUGGACAGAUGGACCCUUAUGAUCUUUUUUUUUUGUCAGUGGUGGUUAAGGUAGUUAAGUGAUCAAGGCACUGGAUUGUUGAUCGGGGUUCAAGCCCCAGGGCUGCCAAUCUGCCACCUUUGGGCCCUUAAUCAAGGACCUUAACCCCUCCCUGCUUCACAGGUGCUGUAAUGUAUGUGUGACAUACAAAUACUUCUAUAUUAUGUGAAUCCUUUGAUAUAUUCACAUUAUUGUUCAACUUACUGUACACACUGUACAUCUAUAAAGAUUUUUAAUAAUCCAUGUAAAUUUGUACACAUAUUUGAAUGGAUCCUUCAGCCACAGUGAAA